GGCUCGCGCAAUAAAAUGGGCGGGCGGGACUAGGCUUGAGGGCGCGGGGCUCGAGUCGCCUUGGAGGUCCGCUGGGGCGGCGGUGGGGUCGUACGUCCCCUCGCCAGUCUCUUCUGAAGUAGGCCCACACGGCGCGGAGAGCUGAGGGGGCUCAUCGGCCCGCGCUCCGCGUGAACUAGGACACGUGAGGGCAUUGCUGGUGAUGCUCAGACUUUAUUCUUGGCUAUAGAGCAUGGAGAUCACCUCUGGUUUCUCCAGAUUGGACUAUUUGAGGAUUGUCCAGGUUGGAGUCAAGAGCCAAGAUUCUCCUCGGAGGGAUGAACAAAGGGAAAUUCUCAGGAAAACACCAGGGAAGGCACAAUGGGAAGGACCCUAUGCAGGUGGAGACAGUAUGGAGGAGAAAGCUUAAGAGGAGCCCGGGAAGAAUCCUCUGCUGGGUGCCACCUGAGAGCUUCAGCACUGACUGGCCAAGGCCCCUCCUGACCUCUGUCCUGCACGCACCACCGCUACUGCCUCACUGGAUGCAGGGUCAUAUCCAGGACUUGCCAGGGCCUGAGGAGAUAGUUUGGAGCCUAGAGCUCAUGCUUUGAAAGAAGGAGCACUGGCACCCACGCAUCACCAGGAGUGAUCCCCGAGCAGCACGCUGGAAAAACCCAAAAAACAAACCAAAUAAUUGGUCUUUAUCUUGGAUUCUCAUUGGAAUAGCAUCACCGGUUUAAAAAAAUGUUUCUCACACGUAAUAUGAUGACAUGCUUUAGUCUAGAUAGUUUUAGAAUGAGGUUAGGGGCCAGAAAAAUGGAGUUAAUGAGAAUGGUGGGCUUUUGAACAAUCCUUCCUAACCUGGGAGAGAGUGAGGAAGGGAAAGGAAAUCGUGUUCACCACCAGUUACUAAUGAAUUAUCAUACUUAUGUGAUGUAACCUCCAUUCCAAAACAAAAGCAAACAAAAAAACCAAGCCCAGAAAGACAGGACUCAGUGAGCUUUGGGGUUGCUGAGUAUAUCGAGGUGCACACGCAGAGGAGAGAGAGCUCAGUGUGUCCCUCCACAUUCACUGUCCUGUGCUCCUUCCAUUUGUCUCUUUGCAUCUUUUAAAAUAAACUGCCAGUAUACAAGUUGAUCUGGUCAGCAUAUUUCAAAGGGCUGGAGACUAGUGAAGUAGUUAGUGUAAGGAAAGCACUUUCCUAGACUCUGUGUGUUGUUCUAGUGAUGUGGAAAAGUCGGAGGAACAUGGGAACCUCUGACUUUAUAGCUAAGUUGUACAGAUCCUUAGAGGGAUGUACUACUUCAAGCGAGUGUUUGAUGUGGGGGGUUGCACUAUUAAGGAAAUGUCAGCAAUGAACUCUAUUGUGGGACUUGGAUGGUAUCUAGAGCUGGUGAAUUAGUGUUGGAAGGAUAAAUCUACGUUUCCGGAACUUGCAUGCAGCUGCCUCAGUAGACAUUGCAAGUACAUGCAUAUGAACAAAGGGCACGGUGGGAGGACAUAUCCUAGGAUGUGGAUGCUGUCCUCAGAGCUCAGUCCUUUCGUACCUGUAUGUCACACAGAACAUACAGGGUGAUAGUUACUCAUCACAACUCUGCUCAGACUCUCCCUUGGACUAGAAUUUGAGGCUUUAUGGUAAUUGUCUCUCUGCCUCGUUUGGCAGCAUGAACUCUAUCUCAAGGCAAUUUUGUGGCAAAUUUAUCCUUGGGGAUAAAUUAGAAAAGAAAUGUCCAUCUAACUAUAGCUUGAGCUUAAAAGUAAAUAUAUAGGGGGCUGGAGCGAUAGCACAGCGGGUAGGGCGUUUGCCUUGCACGCGGCCGACCCGGGUUCUAAUCCCAGCAUCCCAUAUGGUCCCCUGAGCACCGCCAGGGGUAAUUCCUGAGUGAAGAGCCAGGAGUAACCCCUGUGCAUCGCCAGGUGUGACCCAAAAAGCAAAAAAAAAAAAAAAAAAAAAGUAAAUAUAAUGUGAAAGACCCUGAACGAUAAAACUCAGUGAGCAUGAAAUAAGGAGUCUAGCAUAUUACUUAUUAAUGUGUGGAGGGGAAGAGUAGAUUUAUUUAUUUAUUUCUUCAAAGAGUUAAAACAUGGACCACAUUCAUGAGCAUAAUAAGUUGUCUUGUACUUUCUCUCUGAGAUGGGGUUCUUCUGCUUUAGAUUGGUUGGCACUGAUAUGUAUGUACAGCCAUUUUAGUGUGUCCUGCGUUUGUAUGAGGAAUAGCUGGAGGAGUAGCUUUCAGUUUCUCUGUACCUGGACAGCUCUGAGUCUAGUCUUAGAGAGAGGGGGGACAAAGAGCAGGUACACUUGAAGAUAUUUAUUGCUCUCAGUAAAUGAAGUUCCCACUUCACUUCCACUUGACUGUAAGCAAUGUCCCUUGUGUUUACACUAAAAAUAUUACGUAGUAUUAAUGCUAUGUUAAUACUGAACUCAUCUAAGACCUGAUAGUUUGGUAGAGUUUACUAUUAGACGAAUUUGGAUUUUCCUGUUGGGUCAAAAUUUAACUCUAAGCAUACCAUCUUUAUUAGUUUUCUAUUUAUUUUUGAGUCAAUUGUUGUUACACAUUGUUAUGAGACUAUUGAGUAUGUAUUCAGUAUGAAAAGUAGUGAAUAAGAAUUGAAGGCAAUUUGGA